GAUGAACGCUGGCGGCGUGCCUAAUACAUGCAAGUCGAACGAACAGACUAGGAGCGUUCUCCUCGGACGGUAGCGCCGUACGGGUGAGUAACAGAUGGGUGACCUACCUAUGAGACUGGGGUAACUUCGUGAAGCCGGGCCUCAUACCGGGGAAGGUAUUAAACCACAUGGGUCAAUAGUUAAAUACGGUGGUGCUGUCACUUAUGGAGGGAUCCGCUCCGCAUUAGCUAGUUGGUAAGGUAACUGCUUACCAAGGCAACGAUGCGUAGCCGACAUAAGAGGGUGAUCGGCCACACUGGAAGUGAGACACGGUCGAGACUCCUACGCGAGGCAGCAGUCGAGACUCCUACGGAAUGGAGGAGAGCCUGACGGAGCAACGCGGAGUGAGUGAUGAAGGACUUCGGAUCGUAAAACUAUGUUAUUAGGGAAGAACAAAUGUGUAAGUAACUAUGAACGUAUUGACGGUACCUAAUCAGAAAGCCACGGCUAACUACGUG
rnacentral:rRNA from 1 species